GUUUAUGCCUUUUUCUGCUAUAUGAAUUAACUUCUGCAGUACAUUAUUUGUUUAUGUUGCAGAAGUUCACAGUUCCUCAGAAAUACUUUAUUCACUUCUAUAUACUGGCAGUUAUAUGGACAAGUAUUCUACUAGCUACAACAUGGCAUUAUGCAUAUAGAAUAACUCCAGCAGUUUCUGAGCCAUCGCUAUAUUCUAGUAUUGCCAGCCACUUGACUGGAUCUUCACAUGUAUUUUCCUUGCAUAAAUCACAUUCAUCUUCAAGAGACCACAAAUAUUGUGUCUGGCAGUCUGUAUUUAUGCUUGUACUGAUGGAAGUUCAAGUAGUGCCACGCCUUUUUGAGAGUCUAUAUGUAUUCAAGUAUAGUCCUUCAGCUCGGAUGCACAUUUUGGGCUAUCUCACAGGCCUAUUGUAAGUUCUGCCUUAUUUGGUUCUUAAUCUCAUAAAUUUUGUCAUCAUCUUGUUACAUUCAGUUUUGUACAACCAAGCUAAGAAUAUUUCAAACUUCAUUUGAUAUGUCUUGAUAAGUUAUUAAGUUAAUUGCUUGAAUAUUUCCAAGUUUGGUGGGACGAACUGUCGUGAGUUUUUUUGGAAAGUGGUUUUUUUCUUUUUUCUUUUUUGGUUUGGAAACAAGUAGCACCUAUUCAUCAUUUUGAAAUUGUGUGGUGCUUGCCAGUUGGUUGACAUCAAUUAGAAACUUUAAUUUUAUACCUCAAUCUCUUAUUGAGAAAGAAAAGUCUCAUUCACUCAGACUUGUUAUCUUUCUUAUAACAGUUUCUACACAGCAGCUCCACUAUCCCUUUGCUGUAAAUAUGCCC
rnacentral:lncRNA from 1 species